GUAAACAUAGUUUAAAUUAAAACAUUAGAUUGUGAUUCUAAUAAUAAAGGAUAAAACCCUUUUGCUUACC
rnacentral:tRNA from 1 species